CUUAAAUAACGGGCUAAUUUUGUAGCAGACCUUUUGUUUGAUAUUAUUUAGCCUUGAUUUGGGGCAUGUUUUUGCUGAUGGCCUCUGAUGUAUUCUAGCCUCAGAAAGUUCUCGUUUAAACACAGAGGAAUGUCUCUCUGUCCGUCUGCAGGAGGAGUGUCGUCUGCAGCUGGAGGCUCAGCGCAUCAGUCUGUCUCAGAUCCACGCCGCUCACCUGGAGCUGCUCCGAGAGAGUCUGUGUGCGCAGACGCAGGAGGAGAGGAGGAGAGAGAACGGUCAUCCCGCAGGUCACAUCAAACGCUCUUUCAGAUCCAUUAUUAAGAGAUCCAUCAGCAUGAAAGAGAGAGGCACUGUCAAACGGCUCACUUACUCUGUGCUCAUACCCAGAGAUUAUUUAUGUCAUGGCUGCUAACCGAUGUGAUAGUUAGGAUUGAAUGCAGUCCCAAAAUGAUUGAUUGAAUUGAAAAAACGAAUGAUUGAAUUCCCGAACGUUUUUGUCAGCCGAACACCUUUGAACUAAAAAAAUAAGCGUUAAGUAAUUUAACAGCACGUUCACAUGUUGCAGUGUGAAGCCUGUAAACAGUGGCAGGAUUUCCUCACGUGUUUCUCCUGUUCCUGCAGAGCUCAUGGCAGAGUCUGAGGAGUGCUCUGCGCGUCUGGAGAUCGAGCGGCUGAAGAGCGACUAUCAGCAGCAGAUGGAGGAGACGCAGGAACGCUUCAAGGCCGAGGUCCUCCUGCUGCAGAGGAGACUCCAGGAGCUCACAGGAGCCGGCGAGAUCUUCAGCAUGCCGAGCGUCUAUCCGCCGCUGACGAGAGACGAGCGCCGUGAACAUCUUCAGGAGGAGGAUGAGGAGGAAAGACUGAGAGACGCGUGUCCUCCGGAGGAGCCCCAUCUCAGACGCCUGGAGGAGGAGAUCGCCAAGGUGAUCGUGCAGAUGUCGGUUGAGUUCGCCCAGCAGACCGAAGAGGCCCGGAUCAGCAAACAGGCCCGCGAGACAAGCACCGGCACACAGACGGACGACAGCGAGGAUGAGGAGGAACGACUGAACUCUGUGAGCCUGAUGAAGUCUCCUGAAGAAGAGCAGACCUUCAUCACUGAACACACAACACAAGAGGAGGAGGAUGAGGAGGAUGAAGAGCACUUGCGCUCUGAGCUGGUCCCGCAGGAGGAGGCUCUCAGAUCGUCACACACACUUCAGCUGGAGGCGUAUCAGGGGCAGAACACACUCCUGACGGCUCAGAUACACACACUCACCCAGCAGCUCCUGCAGACGGAGCUGGAGCUGCAGCAGAUGAAGGAGAGACGAGACGAGACAGAGAGACGGAGAGAUGAACACCUGCUUCCCAGCAUGCAAAGCUGCAGCACACAGACAGAGCAGGUAGUGUAAACAGUACAGUUUCACUCCUCCCUUC
rnacentral:lncRNA from 1 species